GGGGGUGAACGGUUUCGACUCCGGAUGUUGAGCAAGGGGAAGCGUGCCGAGGAAGGCGACGAUGACCUCGUUAACCACGCGUCGCAAAAAAAUAAGUGCCGCUGAUAAGCGCACUGCGUACGCCCUCGCCGCCUGAGGCAGGAGCGUCGCUGUCGGCCCGGGAGCGUUCCCGACCCGGUAACCGGCAUCAGCUAGGGAACUGACCGUGCGGCUCGGUCGCGGGGCUGCACGGGACAUCACACAGCGACUGGGAUCGUCACACCGGCAGGUUCGCAUGACCGGUGGGUCCGAGUAGAGGCGACGCGGACUGCGCACGGAGAAGCCCUUGUGACGCGACGGAGGACCCGGGUUCGAUUCCCGGCACCUCCACCA
rnacentral:tmRNA from 1 species